UCAAGAGCGUCUGCCUUACACGCAGAAAGUCGGGAGUUCGACCCUCC
rnacentral:tRNA from 11 species